UACAUGGGGUGCAAACGUUGCUCGGAAUUAUUGGGCGUAAAGCGCGCGUAGGCGGUUACUCAAGUCGGAUGUGAAAGCCCUCGGCUUAACUGAGGAAGUGCACCCGAAACUGAGUAGCUAGAGUACUAAAGAGGGUCGCGGAAUUCCCGGUGUAGAGGUGAAAUUCGUAGAUAUCGGGAGGAACACCGGUGGUGAAGGCGGCGACCUGGGUAGAUACUGACGCUGAGGCGCGAAAGCGUGGGGAGCAAACAGG
rnacentral:rRNA from 1 species